UUUUUUGGUCAACGAUUAGAUUAGGGUUUAUGGUAGAGGUUUUGUUCUUGAAGCUCUGGGCCACCAUGGGUAUCACUGUCACCGUCGAUUGUGGCCCUAACCUCAUCAUUGUUGUCACCAAGCGACCACACCAACUGCAAAUUCGGCGAGUUUACCACUGAUUCAUCCUCCUCCGUGCCCAGUGAGCGCAUCAGCGACAGCGAGUUCGCCACUGGUUCUUCUCAAACGUCCAGGCCGCUUGUCUUGUUCAUCCCAGUAGGUGGACGAACUAAAGAAAGGAAGUGGUUCACGAAGAGGAAAAUGUUCGUGUUCGUGGUUUGAGCCUUUGAGGUGAUGAACCAGCAGUGUCAAUUGAUGGCCACGGGACUGUUCCACAGAACAAUGAGACUGCAUUGCUCAUAGCAGCUGCAAACCAACCUGUAUCUGUAACCAUUGAUGCAAGGGGUCUUGAUUUCCAGUUAUAUUCUGAGGGAGUAUUUAUUGGAGUCUGUGGCUCUGACCUGGAUCAUGGAGUAACAGUUGUGGGCUAUGGAGAAACUGAAGAUGAAACAAAAUACUGGAUAGUGAAAAGUCAUAGGGAGCCGAAUGGGGAGAUGAAGGUUACAUUAGAAUGAAAAGGAAAAGGAAGGUCGGUGUGGCAUAGCGAAGGCUGCUUCAUAUCCAAUUAAGAGUUCACAAUCACUUAAAGAUGAACUUUACAUGCUUCCAUGAGAUCAUGCCUUGAUCAACCAUUGUUCUUGUUUUGUUUUCUUGUGUGUAAGGGAUUGCCUCGUAGCAACCUUUGUUCUAACAAAUUUGUAUAUCAUAACACUCGAUGACUAAAGUACUUAUCCAUCGAGAUUGUUAUGUUUGUGUUGUGUGUAACAUAGAUAGAAUAAAAGAAUAGAAGUCACUUAUUUGCUUCUUCUUGCA